rnacentral:rRNA from 1 species
UACGUAGGGCGCAAGCGUUAUCCGGAAUUAUUGGGCGUAAAGCGCACGUAGGCGGCUUUGUAAGUUAGAGGUGAAAGCCCAGGGCUUAACCCUGGAAUUGCCUUUAAGACUGCAUCGCUAGAAUUGUGGAGAGGUAAGUGGAAUUCCGAGUGUAGAGGUGAAAUUCGUAGAUAUUCGGAAGAACACCAGUGGCGAAGGCGACUUACUGGACACAUAUUGACGCUGAGGUGCGAAAGCGUGGGGAGCAAACAGG